AUGAACGCUGGCGGCGUGCCUAAUACAUGCAAGUCGAGCGAACAGAUGAGGAGCUUGCUCCUCUGACGUUAGCGGCGGACGGGUGAGUAACACGUGGAUAACCUACCUAUAAGACUGGGAUAACUUCGGGAAACCGGAGCUAAUACCGGAUAAUAUAUUGAACCGCAUGGUUCAAUAGUGAAAGACGGUUUUGCUGUCACUUAUAGAUGGAUCCGCGCCGCAUUAGCUAGUUGGUAAGGUAACGGCUUACCAAGGCAACGAUGCGUAGCCGACCUGAGAGGGUGAUCGGCCACACUGGAACUGAGACACGGUCCAGACUCCUACGGGAGGCAGCAGUAGGGAAUCUUCCGCAAUGGGCGAAAGCUUGACGGAGCAACGCCGCGUGAGUGAUGAAGGUCUUCGGAUCGUAAAACUCUGUUAUUAGGGAAGAACAAAUGUGUAGUAACUAUGCACGUCUUGACGGUACCUAAUCAGAAAGCCACGGCUAACUACGUG
rnacentral:rRNA from 1 species